rnacentral:rRNA from 1 species
GACGAACGCUGGCGGCGUGCUUAACACAUGCAAGUCGAACGGUAAGGCUCCAGCUUGCUGGGGUACACGAGUGGCGAACGGGUGAGUAACACGUGGGUGACCUGCCCUGCACUUCGGGAUAAGCCUGGGAAACUGGGUCUAAUACCGGAUAGGACCGCACCGUGAGGGUGUGGUGGAAAGUUUUUUCGGUGUGGGAUGGGCCCGCGGCCUAUCAGCUUGUUGGUGGGGUAAUGGCCUACCAAGGCGGCGACGGGUAGCCGGCCUGAGAGGGUGGACGGCCACAUUGGGACUGAGAAACGGCCCAGACUCCUACGGGAGGCAGCAGUGGGGAAUAUUGCACAAUGGGCGGAAGCCUGAUGCAGCGACGCCGCGUGGGGGAUGACGGCCUUCGGGUUGUAAACUCCUUUCACCAUCGACGAAGGGUUUCUGACGGUAGAUGGAGAAGAAGCACCGGCUAACUACGUG